GGUAGUCCACGCCGUAAACGUUGGGCACUAGGUGUGGGACCCUAUCGACGGGAUCCGUGCCGUAGCUAACGCAUUAAGUGCCCCGCCUGGGGAGUACGGCCGCAAGGCUAAAACUCAAAGGAAUUGACGGGGGCCCGCACAAGCGGCGGAGCAUGUUGCUUAAUUCGAUGCAACGCGAAGAACCUUACCUAGGCUUGACAUGUAGCGAAAAGCCACAGAGAUGCGGUGUCCUUCGGGGCGCUACACAGGUGGUGCAUGGUUGUCGUCAGCUCGUGUCGUGAGAUGUUGGGUUAAG
rnacentral:rRNA from 1 species